GAUGAACGCUAGCGGGAGGCCUAACACAUGCAAGCCGAGCGGUAUUGUUUCUUCGGAAAUGAGAGAGCGGCGUACGGGUGCGUAACACGUGUGCAACCUGCCUUUAUCUGGGGGAUAGCCUUUCGAAAGGAAGAUUAAUACUCCAUAAUAUAUUGAACGGCAUCGUUUAAUAUUGAAAGCUCCGGCGGAUAGAGAUGGGCACGCGCAAGAUUAGCUAGUUGGUGAGGAACGGCUCACCAAGGCGAUGAUCUUUAGGGGGCCUGAGAGGGUGAUCCCCCACACUGGUACUGAGACACGGACC
rnacentral:rRNA from 1 species